GACGAACGCUGGCGGCGUGCUUAACACAUGCAAGUCGAACGGAAAGGCCCUGCUUUUGUGGGGUGCUCGAGUGGCGAACGGGUGAGUAACACGUGAGUAACCUGCCCUUGACUUUGGGAUAACUUCAGGAAACUGGGGCUAAUACCGGAUAGGAGCUCCUGCUGCAUGGUGGGGGUUGGAAAGUUUCGGCGGUUGGGGAUGGACUCGCGGCUUAUCAGCUUGUUGGUGGGGUAGUGGCUUACCAAGGCUUUGACGGGUAGCCGGCCUGAGAGGGUGACCGGCCACAAUGGGACUAAGAUACGGCCCAGACUCCUACGGGAGGCAGCAGUGGGGAAUAUUGCACAAUGGGCGGAAGCCUGAUGCAGCAACGCCGCGUGCGGGAUGACGGCCUUCGGGUUGUAAACCGCUUUCGCCUGUGACGAAGCGUGAGUGACGGUAAUGGGUAAAGAAGCACCGGCUAACUACGUG
rnacentral:rRNA from 1 species